AAAGAAUUAGUUAACUAUAACAUUAAAUUGUCAAUUUAAAAUCAUUACUCUAUAAUAAUAUUCUUUU
rnacentral:tRNA from 1 species